GAAACUUUGAGGAAGGUACAUUCCUUAGGGAAAACAUGGUUUGUUAAAAAAAAAAAAAAAAUCCAGAAGGCUGCUCAGGGAGGGGGCAGAAUGUCAGUUAAAGGUAAACUAUCAGUAACAUUGUUAGACUCAUUACAUAUCUGCUGCCUGAUGAGCAGAGACAAGCUUAGGCGCAUCUCUUUUGACAUGUGGGCAAUAAUCAGCCAUUAUGGAACCUGGCUGAAGGGACAGAUAGUCUGAAUAUGCCCCUAUUGCAAACUGGCCUCGGCCACACAACUGGGGUACCGGCAUUCCCUCUCCUCCCGUCCCUUUUCUAGUCAGUCCUCAACCAUUCCUGGGGAGUACGUCCUUAGAUGAUCUCGGAAAUGACCCCGGCAGAAGGUUCUCCAACUCUUCAGAACGUGGGCAGGCCAGGGGGAGGGGCCAGAGGAUACUGCCAGAGAGCCCAAGGCAGAGAUGGUCCCUAUGCCCCAGGUUUCCAUGGAAACAUAGGAGGGUGAUGACAGCCAGCACAGCCACACCAUCUGCUCAGGGCCCGGUGAACGAUGAAAGAGAUAGAGAAAGAAAGGCGCCUCAGGUCCCAAGCCAGAGCCACCCUAAGGCAGCAGAGGAGAGGACAGCCCGGAGGACUCUCGAACUCCCAGGCAAACACAGGCAUCCAAGAAGCCUCAGGAAGGAGACACAGACAGAUCACCGCGCGCCGGUGCCAUCCGCAGUCUGGCCGGAACAGGAGGGAGGCUGUGGUGAGCACAGUGCUGGCGGGGGCGGGGCAGGGCGCCCACCACCUUCCUGCAGGACCACCUGCACCGCUGACUUUUGGCCAGGCAUAUCCUUCCAGAGGAAUGGUGGGAUCGGAAAAGGAAGACUCCCACCUGGUCACAAAAGACCUCUGAGCUGAGGCCAGGUCUUCAGAAUAAGGCCUGAAUUAAUAAAGCCAUGUAAGGGCUCUCUUCUCUCAAUUCGUAUCCAAAAGGUGAUCUUAGUCGGAUACCACAGGUUUACUUCUGGGUCUGUUUAGGAGGUUUCCAGUUCCAGGUUGGCAGAAUGUGAGUGAGGCCCUAGCUAAGUCCCCUUGAAUGCCUGCCCCAGACUGAAUAGCAUUCAUUUCUGAGUCCUUUUCAUUCAGAGAUGUGGCCUAAACAAACAAACCUGACCUAGGAUGCCAGCAGCCCCUCUCACGUAGCUGCCUCCCCUGGCCGCUCUCUGAAGCUGGGCGCUUUUGUUGAGCUUUCUGUAGUAGUGUCUCAUUUAUCUCCAGAGAGAGAGAAGUCCCUCCAGCCUGACUGCCUUUAC
rnacentral:lncRNA from 1 species